GUCUACGGCCAUACCGCCCUGGGCAUGCCUGAUAUCUAGAGGUUAAGCAGGGUCAGGCCCGGCUGGUACGUGGAUG
rnacentral:rRNA from 1 species